UAAAUCAAGGAAGAAGCAAGAAACUAAUCCAUUCUUUACAUCCACCCUUUACCCUUCUUCUCUUCUUAUCAAAAUGAUGAAAAAGAUUCAGUUCCUGCAAGCACUUAGCAUUUUCCUCCUGCUACUAAUGUGUUCAGCAGUUGAAACAACAAGGCCUAUUGCUAGAAUUCAUGCAGGUGAUCUAGUCUCCAAGAUCAUUUCUCAUGACAAAAUUACAACCAAAAUGGUCUCCCAGGUGGGUGCAGAAGAAGAGCUUAAAGAAAAGCACAUCGACUACAUAUACAGUGAACAUCCAUGACAACUGCAAAAGCUAUGUUCUGCUACGCUACGCAUCUAUGUAACAAAUCACUCAAAUCUUGUUAAACGCUUGAGUUAUGUAACAAUGUUCAAUUCAAUCUUGAAUUGGAUGACAAA